rnacentral:rRNA from 1 species
AUUGAACGCUGGCGGCAGGCCUAACACAUGCAAGUCGAACGAGUGGCGGACGGGUGAGUAAUGUCUGGGAAACUGCCAGAUGGAGGGGGAUAACUACUGGAAACGGUAGCUAAUACCGCAUACCCUCGGAUCUGCCCAGAUGGGAUUAGCUAGUAGGUGGGGGAACGGAUCACCUAGGCGACGAUCCCUAGCUGGUCUGAGAGGAUGACCAGCCAAACAGGAAAUGAGAAACGUUCCAGACUCCUACGGGAGGCAGCAGAGGGGAAUAUUGCACAAUGGGCGCAAGCAUGAUGCAGCCAUGCCGCGUGUAUGAAGAAGGCUUUCGGGUUGUAAAGUACUUUCAGCGAGGAGGCGUUACUCGCAGAAGAAGCACCGGCUAACUCCGUGCCAGCAGCCGCGGUAAUUC